rnacentral:rRNA from 1 species
AUGUAGGUAUCUGCCCUUUGGCCUGGAAUAACACGAGGAAACUUGUGCUAAUACCAGAUAAGUCUUUACGGAGAAAGCUUUAUGCACCAUUGGAUGAGCCUGCACUUGAUUAGUUUGUUGGUGGGGUAAUGGCCUACCAAGACUUUGAUCAAUAGCUGAUUUGAGAGGAUGAUCAGCCACAUUGGGACUGAGACACGGCCCAAACUCCUACGGGAGGCAGCAGUGGGGAAUCUUGCACAAUGGAGGAAACUCUGAUGCAGCGAUGCCGCGUGAGUGAAGAAGGCCCUUGGGUUGUAAAGCUCUUUCGUCGGG